AGAGUUUGAUCCUGGCUCAGGACAAACGCUGGCGGCGUGCUUCACACAUGCAAGUCGAACGGACGGUAGCAAUACCGUUAGUGGCGGACGGGUGAGUAACACGUGAACAACGUGCCUCCUUCACGGGGAUAACACCGGGAAACUGGUGCUAAUACCGGAUAAGACCUCGGGAUCGCAUGGUCCUGAGAGGAAAGGCGGAGCAAUCUGCCGAGAGGAGAGCGGUUCGCGUCCCAUCAGCUAGUAGGCGGGGUAAUGGCCCACCUAGGCGACGACGGGUAGCCGGCCUGAGAGGGUGUACGGCCACACUGGAACUGAGACACGGUCCAGACUCCUACGGGAGGCAGCAGUGGGGAAUCUUGGUCAAUGGGGGAAACCCUGACCCAGCGACGCCGCGUGCGCGAUGAAGGCCUUCGGGUUGUAAAGCGCUGUCUUCAGGGAAGAACGACGGGGUGAGUAACUGCGCUCCGUGUGACGGUACCUGAGGAGGAAGCCACGGCUAACUACGUGCCAGCAGCCGCGGUAAUACGUAGGUGGCGAGCGUUGUCCGGAAUUACUGGGCGUAAAGGAUGAGUAGGCGGCCUGUUAAGUCGGAUGUGAAACAUCGGGGCUCAACCCCGAUCUUGCAUUUGAUACUGGCAGGCUUGAGGGCAGGAGAGGAAUGCGGAAUUCCCGGUGUAGCGGUAAAAUGCGUAGAUAUCGGGAGGAACACCAGUGGCGAAGGCGGCAUUCUGGACUGUACCUGACGCUGAGUCAUGAAAGCUAGGGGAGCGAACGGGAUUAGAUACCCCGGUAGUCCUAGCCGUAAACGAUGGGUACUAGGUGUGGGAGGUAUCGACCCCUCCCGUGCCGCAGUUAACGCAAUAAGUACCCCGCCUGGGGAGUACGGCCGCAAGGUUGAAACUCAAAGGAAUUGACGG
rnacentral:rRNA from 1 species